GACGAACGCUGGCGGCGUGCUUAACACAUGCAAGUCGAGCGGUAAGGCCCUUUCGGGGGUACACGAGCGGCGAACGGGUGAGUAACACGUGGGUGACCUGCCCUCAGCUCUGGGAUAAGCCUGGGAAACUGGGUCUAAUACUGGAUAUGACUCCACGGUGCAUGUCGUGGGGUGGAAAGCCUUGUGCGGCUGAGGAUGGGCCCGCGGCCUAUCAGCUCGUUGGUGGGGUGANGGCCUACCAAGGCGACGACGGGUAGCCGGCCUGAGAGGGCGACCGGCCACACUGGGACUGAGACACGGCCCAGACUCCUACGGGAGGCAGCAGUGGGGAAUCUUGCGCAAUGGGCGAAAGCCUGACGCAGCGACGCCGCGUGAGGGAUGACGGCCU
rnacentral:rRNA from 1 species